CCUACGGGAGGCAGCAGUGAGGAAUAUUGGUCAAUGGCCGGGAGGCUGAAGCAGCCAAGUCGCGUGAGGGAAGACGGCCCUACGGGUUGUAAACCUCUUUUGUCAGGGAGCAAGGUGCAGGUCGGGACCUGCUGUGAGAGUACCUGAAGAAAAAGCAUCGGCAAAGUCCGUGCCAGCAGCGGCGGUAAUACGGAGGAUGCGAGCGUUAUCCUGAUUUAUUGGGUUGAGAGGGUGCGCAGGCGGAGGCACAAGUCAGCGGGAAAAUCGCGGGGCUCAACCCCGCUCCGCCGUUGAAACUGUGUCCCUUGAGUGCGCGAAGGGUAGGCGGAAUGCGUGGUGUAGCGGUGAAAUGCAUAGAUAUCACGCAGAACUCCGAUCGCGAAGGCAGCCUACCGGCGCGCAACUGACGCUCAUGCACGAAAGCGUGGGUAUCGAACAGGAUUAGAUACCCUUGUAGUC
rnacentral:rRNA from 1 species